CGACCUGCACAGGUGCUGCAUGGCUGUCGUCAGCUCGUGUCGUGAGAUGUUGGGUUAAGUCCCGCAACGAGCGCAACCCUUAUCCCUAGUUGCCAUCAGGUAAAGCUGGGAACUCUGGGGAGACUGCCGGUGAUAAACCGGAGGAAGGCGGGGAUGACGUCAAGUCCUCAUGGCCCUUACAUCCCGGGCUACACACGUGCUACAAUGGCAGGUACAGAGGGCUGCGAAGCCGCGAGGUGGAGCGAAUCCCAGAAAACCUGUCUCAGUCCGGAUUGAAGUCUGCAACUCGACUUCAUGAAGGCGGAAUCGCUAGUAACCGCGAAUCAGCAGGUCGCGGUGAAUACGUUCCCGGGCCUU
rnacentral:rRNA from 1 species